AUUGAACGCUGGCGGCAUGCUUUACACAUGCAAGUCGAACGAUAACGCGGGGCAACCUGGCGACGAGUGGCGAACGGGUGAGUAAUGCAUCGGAACGUGCCCGGUAGUGGGGGAUAACUGCUCGAAAGAGCAGCUAAUACCGCAUACGACCUGAGGGUGAAAGGCGGGGAUCGCAAGACCUCUCGCUAUUGUAGCGGCCGAUGUCGGAUUAGCUAGUUGGUGGGGUAAGGGCCCACCAAGGCGACGAUCCGUAGCUGGUCUGAGAGGACGACCAGCCACACUGGGACUGAGACACGGCCCAGACUCCUACGGGAGGCAGCAGUGGGGAAUUUUGGACAAUGGACGCAAGUCUGAUCCAGCCAUGCCGCGUGCGGGAAGAAGGCCUUCGGGUUGUAAACCGCUUUUGUCAGAGAAGAAAUCUUCUGGGUUAAUACCUCGGGAGGAUGACGGUAUCUGAAGAAUAAGCACCGGCUAACUACGUGCCAGCAGCCGCAGUAA
rnacentral:rRNA from 1 species